UACGGAGGGUGCAAGCGUUGUCCGGAAUCACUGGGCGUAAAGGGCGCGUAGGCGGCCCGGUAAGUAGGGGGGUGAAAAUCCUGCGGCUUAACCGCAGGGCUGCCUUCUAAACUGUCGGGCUCGAGCACGGUAGAGGCAGAUGGAAUUCCCGGUGUAGCGGUGGAAUGCGUAGAGAUCGGGAAGAACAUCAGUGGCGAAAGCACUCUGCUGGGCCGACACUGAC
rnacentral:rRNA from 1 species